AAAGUUAAUCGGACAGUCGCGCUUUUAUUAAGUGAGGAAAGUCCGGGCUUUAUAGAGCAAGAUGCCAGAUAACAUCUGGGAGGCGUGAGUCUACGGAAAGUGCAACAGAAAAUAUACCGCCUUAAAUUUUUUAAGGUAAGGGUGAAAAGGUGUGGUAAGAGCGCACCGCACUGGUGGCAACAUUCAGUGGCAUUGUAAACCCCAUCUAAAGCAAGACCAAAUAGCGUUACUAAUGCGUUGCUCGCGCAGUAACAGGGUAGGUCGCUUGAGUUUACUGGUGACAGUAAACCUAGAUAAAUGACUGUUUAUUACAGAACCCGGCUUAUAGAUUGACUUUGUAU
rnacentral:RNase_P_RNA from 1 species